rnacentral:lncRNA from 1 species
GUCUGACAAGCUGCAUCCAUGAUUUAUUGUAAGGAGAUUAUUAUAAUUGAUAGCUUCUUUAUGAUGGGAUUGCUAGUAUCAUCUGUUCUUGCUGGUUCCUUUUAAAGAAACAGACUCAAACUAUAAAGGCAGCUGCAGUUUCUAAAGAAACAGAGUGAUUUCCAGAGAAGAGCCAAAAGGUUUCAGUGUUUUAAGACCUUUCAGGAAGGAAAGAAAGCUUCGGAGAAUAAAGGUGAGUAUCCGUGAAGGGAGUACCAGGUGCUACCCAGAAAUCUGGAAAAAGUGAAAGAAUGUGUUUGCCAGGCAGGGUAGCAGCUCCUUGGGUUCAGUAGGAGCAAGAGGAAGGAGCCUUCACCCCUUUCAUUAAAGACAACUGCCGGUCUGCUCUUAACUGCCACUGCCAUAUGUUUAACUUCAGCUUCCUCACCAAGAGUGAAAAUUUAGUUCUUUGGGUCUUCAGUUUAAAUCUACUAUAGGUUUUCGGUCAUCAGCUUUAACUCCGCUGUCUUCUCUGGGCUACCUUAGUUCUUACCAUGGCAUGUGGAGUUGCCAUUAAUGAGUAAUAUCUUUGGGGAGUAAAUUCUUUUCUUCAGCUUUUUCAGGUUUAAAGGGUGGUAUUAAAAUAGAAACCCUAAGUUGCUCUCUGAAGGGAAGAUAGACUCUUUGAAAACAAUCCCACUGUGUGCUUGUGGCUUUUCUGUCCUCUUUUCUCACUUCCUGCUGUACAUUUUUCAGGCCCCAGAGGACUGUUUCAGGGGCUGCUGCUUCCCAGGUGAGGAACCCUUGCAAGCAGUUCCAGGUAACUUAUUUUUUUUUUAAGACGCUUUCAUUGAAUUACUGCAGUCAGAUGCGUAAACUUCCUCCCCUUCUUAAAACAGAGCCUUACAGAGGAAACUUUUAAAGGUGGACCAUCCUAAUGCCAUUUUUGCAUUAAAUGAGAACCUUAACACCAGAUCAAGGCCAGUUGGUACCAAGUAAACAGUGUGGUUUAUUUCAGAAGGGUUUGUAAGGCUGGAGUAAAGCUUAGGGCAGUUUUCUUCAUAAUCUCGGUCCUCUGAGUGUUAGCUUUUGAGUAUUAGAGGAGUGUGGUUAGCUUCUCCCACCUUCGGGGUCUGUAAAGUUCCCACAGUCUGGUGUUUGGCGGGGUAGAUCUUCCCCACAUCCCCAUUGUCUUUCAUAGGAAGACCACUUAAGUCCAAUCGAGGAGAUGGGAGAGUCCGUACCCAGGCCUAUAGGGUUGCAGCAGUCUGUGACCAGCAGCUCCUCUAUCCAGAUGGCCAGGUAUGUCUUUACCUCAAAAGGGACAACUCAUGAAGAGCUAGCGACAGAGUUGUUUCAAUUCUCCCUGUUUGGCCUUUGUACAAUUUCAACUAGCAGGUAUAAGAAAAUCGUCUUUCAUUUCAUCAGAAAUCUACAGGCACAUCCUCUCUGUCUGUGGUUAACUCCUCUUCUCUUUGGGCUCCA